rnacentral:rRNA from 1 species
GAUGAACGCUGGCGGCGUGCCUAACACAUGCAAGUCGAACGGAGUCCAGCCUUUAAGACCUUCGGGUCAAAGAGGGGAAGACUGAGUGGCGGACGGGUGAGUAACACGUGGGCAACCUGGCUCAUAGAGGGGGAUAACAGAGAGAAAUUUCUGCUAAUACCGCAUAAGCACACACUGCCGCAUGGCAGAGGGUGAAAAGAGAAUCGCUAUGAGAUGGACCCGCGUCUGAUUAGCCAGUUGGCAGGGUAAGAGCCUACCAAAGCGACGAUCAGUAGCCGAUCGGAGAGGAUGAACCGCCACAUUGGGACUGCGACACGGACCAAAACCCUACGGGAGGCAGGAGUGGGGGAUAUUGCACAAGGGGGGGAACCCUGAUGCAGCGACGCCGCGUGAGUGAAGAAGUAUUUCGGUAUGUAAAGCUCUAUCAGCAGGGAAGAUAAUGACAGUACCUGAAUAAGAAGCCCCGGCUAACUACGUG